rnacentral:tRNA from 1 species
CGGGAUUGUAGUUUAAUAAAAAUAUUAGCAUUGGAAGUUAAAGAUUAGGUAAUAAUCCUACAUCUCGA